GUAAAUAAUAAAGGGCGUAUGGUGGAUGCCUAGGCUCUCAGAGGCGAUGAAGGACGUGAUAAGCUGCGAAAAGCUCCGUUUAGGUGCAAAUAACCUUUGAUGCGGAGAUCUCCGAAUGGGAUAACCCAAUAUGUUGAAGACAUAUUAUACCGUAAGGUAGGCAAACGCAGGGAACUGAAACAUCUAAGUACCUGCAGGAGAAGAAAACAAACGUGAUUCCCCCAGUAGCGGCGAGCGACCGGGGAUAAGCCCAAACCGUUAUUGUUUCGGCAGUAGCGGGGUAGUAGGACUGCGACAUUGAUGAAAUAAAUGAAAUGGAACACCUUGGAAAAUGUGAUCACAGAGGGUGAUAAUCCCGUACAUGCAAGUUUAUGAAUCAUAGCAGUAUCCUGAGUAAGUCGGGACACGUGUAAUCCUGACCGAAUCCGCCGGGACCAUCCGGCAAGGCUAAAUACUCCUGAGAGACCGAUAGUGAACCAGUACCGUGAGGGAAAGGUGAAAAGCACUUCGAACAGAAGAGUGAAAUAGUUCCUGAACCCAUACGCCUACAAGCUGUCGGAGCCGCUUCGUGCGGUGACGGCGUGCCUUUUGCAUAAUGAGCCUACGAGUUACUCAUCACCAGCGAGGUUAAGUACUUCAGGUACGUAAGCCGAAGCGAAAGCGAGUCUGAAUAGGGCGUCAAGUUGGUGGUGGUAGACGCGAAACCUUAGUGAUCUACCCAUGGGCAGGGUGAAGGUUUGGUAACACAAACUGGAGGCCCGAACCGGUAAACGUUGAAAAGUUUUCGGAUGACCUGUGGGUAGGGGUGAAAGGCCAAUCAAACUGGGAAAUAGCUCGUACUCUCCGAAAUGCAUUUAGGUGCAGCCUCUGUUGUUUUGUUCUAGAGGUAGAGCUACUGAUUGGAUGCGAGGGCUUCACCGCCUAUCAAAUCCGGCCAAACUCCGAAUGCUAGAACAUGAAGACAGGGAGUGAGCCAGCGGGUGCUAAGGUCCGUUGACGAAAGAGGGAGAACUCAGACCAUCAGCUAAGGUCCCCAAUUAUAUGCUAAGUUGGAAUAAAAACGGGGUGGGACUGCUUAGACAGCUAGGAUGUUGGCUUGGAAGCAGCCAUUCAUUUAAAGAGUGCGUAACAGCUCACUAGUCGAGCGGUCCUGCAUGGAUAAUACGCGGGCAUAAGCAUAUAACCGAAGCUAUGGGAUUGUAGAUGAUACAAUCGGUAGGAGAGCAUUCCAUUCAGCAUAGAAGCAGUAUCGUGAGGUAUUGUGGAGCGGAUGGAAAAGCAAAUGUAGGCAUAAGUAACGAUAAUGCGGGUGAGAACCCCGCACGCCGAAAGAUCAAGGAUUCCCCGGCAAUGUCAAUCAUCCGGGGGUAAGUCGGAUCCUAAGGGUAAGCCGAGUGGCGAUCCCGAUGGUAAACAGGUUAAUAUUCCUGUACUGAUCAUAACUGCGAUGCAGCGACGCAGAGGUGACACUGCUGCGUACUGACGGAAUAGUACGUUGAAACCCGUAUUCUUUGAUACCGGUAGUGAAGCACGCCGGUAGAGAUGAAAGGUGAUAGUACCGCAAUGCUUCGGUUGCGCGGAUAACGCAGGUAAGCUGACUGCCAAGAAAACCUGCUAAGCUUCAGGUAAUGAUCAUCCGUACUGUAAACGGACACACGUGAUCAGGUAGAAAAUACUAAGGCGCUCGAGAGAUUCAUGGUUAAGGAACUAGGCAAAAUGGUCCUGUAACUUCGGGAUAAAGGACGCUCUUGUGAAAGAGCCGCAGAUAAUAGGCCCAGGCGACUGUUUACCAAAAACACAUGGCUAUGCUAAUUCGCAAGAAGAUGUAUAUGGCCUGACACCUGCCCGGUGCCGGAAGGUUAAGAGGAGAGCUCAGAGGUAACUCGAAGGUUUGAAUUGAAGCCCCGGUAAACGGCGGCCGUAACUAUAACGGUCCUAAGGUAGCGAAAUUCCUUGUCGGGU
rnacentral:rRNA from 1 species